UGGAGGCGCUGAGGGUGGCCAUCUUGUGGCGGGCGGUGCAGCUGCAGGAUGGCGGCGAAGCCGUGUAGGCCGCCUAGAGGCAUUCGGUCGUGCUCGCCCCGUUCUGUCCGUCUUUACCUCGGGGUGACGAAGUCUCUCUAAGGCCUUUCAGCACCGACUACGUACUCUUCGCUAAGACAGAGGCAGAAAGGUUUUUAUCUCCCAUUGGAGUCACCCAGAGCCCAGUCAUGGAUGUAGCCUUAUACGGAAUACUCUUAUUUCAGAGCUCAGCCACUGAUAUUUAGAAGAACUGCUGAGGAAAAGGCUUGUGCAGAACUUCUCAUGAAGCACUGGGAAACAAGGAUACAGAAAGUGAAAUAUUACCAUGUUAUUCACAAACCUCAGCCUCAGUUCUGGACUGUACUUAAGCACACACGACCAUAAAUAGGAUCAGCAAAAAUCAAUUUGACCAGAGCUUUUCUGUGAUUCCAUACCUGAUACAGGUAAUCACUGGCCUUCUCCAACUCCAUUACCAGGGUAGUAGUGAUAAAGCUCAUCUGAACAGCUACACGAUUAAAGACCUGAGAAUCUUUCACGCCUUGAAAUAACAGUGCUUCACAAUACUACCAGUGAUGUCCUCUGCCAAAGGCAGCAAUGAAUAUGAAGAAAAGCCCAAACAAACCACCAAAAGCAACAAAUACAAACUCGAGCACAAAGACCCACCUCAAGCACUGUACAAAUUUCUAGAGAAACAGCUUCUGAGGGAAAGAAGUAGCCAAUAAAGGCGAAAGAGGAAGAGAAGAGUCAUUCUUUAGACCCCACACAAGUAACAAGACUUAGAAACCAAAAUUAAUGGGAAAGAACAAGAACAGAGAAAGAACGGAGAAGUGUUUCUGUGCAACGUUCUACGCAUUUCAAAACCAAAGCAUUUUAAGACUGGUUUGAUUAUUUCAAUAUGGUCAGAAAUGAUUUCCACAUUCAAUAAAACACCAUUAUUUCCCUUAA